rnacentral:lncRNA from 1 species
CCCGAUCAGCAAGAAAGGCACUCGGCCUCCGAUACCGCCUGCUUCCCUAUUUCUACACCCUGAUGUAUGAGGCACAUGUCAAAGGUGCACCUAUUGCGCGACCUCUCUUCUUCUCAUUCCCUGAAGAUGUCAAAACCUAUGAUAUCAGUAAGCAGUUUCUGAUUGGAAAAGGUGUGAUGGUCUCCCCAGUAUUGAAUCAAGGAUCGGUCUCGGUCGAUGCUUAUUUUCCGAAAGGGAAAUGGUUCAACCUCUUCAACCACUCGCAGAUGGUGAGCAGUGAUUUUGGGAAGUAUGUCACGCUGGAUGCACCAGAGGAUGCUAUAAACGUGCAUGUGAGGGGAGGGAACAUCUUGGUAAUGCAGGAAGAGGCAAUGACAGUGCAAUUGGCACGGCAGAGUGGAUUCAAGCUCCUGGUGGUGCUCGAUGAGGAUAACAAUGCAGCUGGGGAGGUCUAUUUGGAUGAUGGAGAGGUGGUGGAGAUGGCAGGCAAGGAGAGUCAGUGGAGUUUAGUCAGGUUCGGCAGUGUGAUAGAAGAUAAGGAUGUGAAGGUCAGGUCGGAGGUUGUGAAUGCUACAUAUGCGUUGAAUCAGAAGUUGCUGCUAGAGAAGGUUGUGUUCCUGGGGUUGGAGUUGAAAGAAACACCUAAAAUGGCUACCAUAUCUUUGAAUGGAAUGGAAGUAUGUUGUAACUCAAAGGUGAGUGCUAGGUACCAAACGAAUGGGAGAUUUGGAGUUGCAGAAAUUGAAGGCUUGUCGCAGCUCAUUGGCGAGGAAUUUGAGUUGAAAUUCAAGCUCACAAAUUAGUCCAAAUAGUACAUGCUCGGAGAGAGCAGAAAAGGAACAUAAGGUCAUCAAUAUAGAAGCAAUCUUUCCAUGUCUACUGAAAGUAUCUAAAUGCUGUACUUGUGUGAGCUUAACAGACUGAAUUUUCCAUUAUCCUACUAGAUUGAAAAUAAUUGCAAUAAGAAAAGAGACAGAGGGUAGAAUCUCUUCUGCUGAUAAGAAUUUUAUCUUUUUAUCUUUCUAGGUGGAGAGUUUUCUGGUUUAAUGACAUCAUAUGCUAAUUAAAAUAUGGCAUCCAACAAGGUAAAGGAAAACAUAAAUCAAAAGAAAUACUCUCAGAGACAGGAAAUCCUAUUAGGCAGGCUUCAGUUUUGCCAAAAAUGAUUUUCAGCUUCUGCUUCUCAAAUUAUCCGAUCUUUAAAACCCAGAACAGUUGGUCUUGUCAGAAUGCAAGCUUGAAGACUGAACAAGGUGGAGUCCUAAUUUUUGUCAAGCUUUUACACUCUUUGCAAGCCUAAGACUUGGAGGAUAGCCCAUCAAUUGCAUAGCAAUUUAUCACCUCUUGUGUACUGUGGAGUCGUCAUUAUUACUUGACCAAGAUUACUUUGCCAGGGUUUAAAGCAAAUUUAGGAUAUUAGAACCAGGUUUUCUGCUAGCAAAAAGAAAAAUAUUAUCCGUAAAUGAUCUCUCUCAUAUUGAUUCAUAUAAACAUUAAUACAAGGGCGGCAAUAAGGCUUCCUUGGGUUACGUUAAGGUUAACCUUGCCAUCUUAUUAUAUAGAGUGCAAAUACAGCUCACCAACUUAAUGCAGUAACUUCUUUAAAGGUAGUGAAGGGUGCCAACUUACCUUGCCGCUAGAGAUAGCCACCAGAUGAUCACUGUACAACCAGCAGAGGCAUCAAAACUGAAAAAACACAUUUCAAGGUUUUCAGAAGUAACAGAGUGUCCGUUCUUCACGUGCACACCUGUGCAAUAAUAAUUUUAGUCUUGUCCUAUAUGUGAAUAAGAUAAAAACCUUAAAUAUGGGGGGCCGCAUUUUAAAUAUGGGACAAUAUCAUCCAAGAAAAUUCACUCACCUAUACCAGAAAGGCAGAGCAAGAUGGGAGAAGCAAGCAGCUUCCUUUCUCAUGAACUGUACAUGAAAUACUUUAAAAGCGUGCAACUUCCCUGCUGAUCGCAGCAUGUAG